rnacentral:tRNA from 1 species
GCUUCCUUGGCUCAGUUGGUAGAGCGUUGGUCUCAUAUCUUGAUAUGAGUGAUCUUAUGAUUACGUAAUCCAUACUAUCCAAAGGUCGUGAGUUCGAGCCUCACAGGGAGCA